UUAAUCCUAUCAAUAGGGUAAACCCUUUUUUAGUACUUUGUAAUGACUACAGUAUAAUGUCAUGAUUUACUUCACAGUUCACAAAAGAAAAGUCUGUUGCGGAUAAAGGGUUAAUCGUUUUUUAGUAAAAUCUUUUUUAAUAAUUCAAUAUAUUCGUAAAUUUGAAACCAAUGUUUCGGCAUGGCAAAUAGAUUCCUUGUAAUGCCCCGUUGCAUUGUACAUGAGAGAGUACCUGUGGAAUUCAAAAUUUUGUACAGGUUUUCCAAAUAAUUUAAAAUGUAUUUUUGUCCUGGUACGACAAACUCGUAUAU